ACCCGGUGUUGCACAUGGCGGUGCAUGCCUAAUAAUUCAAAUCUAGAAAUACAUGCACAACGUCAGCAUACCACAGCAGACCAAAUCCUCCUCACCAAGAAAUAAAAGGAGAAGAAAAUAAACACUUUGUUUGUUCAAACAAAAAAAGUUCAGAAACAAACGCUUCCUCUGGUGGCUCACGAUGCACAAACUUAAUCUAAUCAAAAUUUUAAAUGUUAAAUGUGGAAGUAGAAAAUAGGGAAGAGUAGUAUGAUGAAUUUUACAAAAACUAACCCAGAAGCUAUGUCCCUGAGAUUCAUGUAGCGCUUGAAAAUUUCAUCUUUCAGGUCUUUCAAUGAUUUGUACCU